GGUGGGGAAGCACAUACGGAUGUGCGGCAGGCUGUUAACCUGAUGGUAUAGGGUUCGAGUCCCUAACCCACCGCCA
rnacentral:tRNA from 1 species